rnacentral:rRNA from 1 species
AGAGUUUGAUCAUGGCUCAGGAUGAACGUUGGCGGUGUGCCUAAUACAUGCAAGUCGAACGGUGACCUUUUUGUAGUAAUACGAAAUUGUCAUAGUGGCGAACGGGUGAGUAACGCGUUGGUGAUCUGCCUCGAAGUGUGGAAUAACGUUCCGAAAGGAACGCUAAUACCGCAUGUGCUCUCAGUCUUUAGAAAGUUGAGAGUAAAGGAUUUAUUCGCUUCGAGAGGAGCCUGCGUCCCAUCAGCUAGUUGGUAGGGUAAUAGCCUACCAAGGCUUUGACGGGUAGGGGACCUGAGAGGGUGGCCCCCCACAAUGGAACUGAAACACGGUCCAUACACCUACGGGUGGCAGCAGUAGGGAAUAUUAGAAAUGGACGAAAGUCUGAUCUAGCGACACCGCGUGUGCGAAGGAGGCCUUCGGGUUGUAAAGCACUUUUUGGAAGGAAUAGGAAGGAAGGUACUUCCAGAAUAAGUCUCGGCUAACUACGUGCCAGCAGCCGCGGUAACACGUAGGAGGCAAACGUUAUCCGGAUUUACUGGGCGUAAAGCGCGUGUAGGUGGUUCUGUAAGUAGGGCGUGAAAGCUCCCGGCUCAACUGGGAGAGGCCGUUCUAUACUGCAGAGCUAGAGGAUGGUAGAGGGGGGUGGAAUUCCAGGUGUAGCGGUGGAAUGCGCAGAUAUCUGGAGGAACACCAGUGGCGAAAGCGGCCU